UCUCCCUCUCUCGGCUUGAAAUUUUGAUCUCUGCAAGGAAAAUUUCAGGCCUCGACCUCUCUCUCGACUCUCCCUCUCGGUUCCCUCUUUCUCUCUCUCUCUCGACUCUCUCUCGACUCUCUCUGUCUCUCGGCCUCUCUCUCUCGAUCGCGAAUCUCCUCCUCGGUUCUCUGUAAGCCCUAACCCUGAAAUCUCGACAGCCCCUCUGUUCGUCGCUCCCUGCUCUCUGCUCUCGACUCUCUCUCUCUGGUCGUCGCUCGACUCUGGUAGAACAGCCCUGCGCUCCCUGCUACGACAAUUUCUUCACUGGAAAGGGGUAUUGUAUUUUACAUAGAAAUGGAUGCACAACAGCGGAUGUGUAGCUGUGGUGAAGGGGUGAUGGUCAUCCGGACUUCUCGAACGAUGAAGAAUCCUGGACGACGAUUUUACAGAUGUCCGUUAGGUGAAAAACAUCCGGACUCUUUCAUUUGGUUGGACCCAGCGUUGAGGAACUAUACAGAGACUGUAGACACAGGAGCAUGUCAUUCAAAUGAAAGUGUUAAUAGGAACACACGGGCCAUCUCGGCUACUCGUCAUCCACCCUAUAUUCCAAAAGUGCGGAACCAAGUAGUAGUGGAUCAGUCAUUGCUCAACCAUUAUUAUGGUUUAACCAUCUUCCUUUGUAUUUGGAUGUUAAUUCUUUCAUGCUAUGUCUUCUAUGUAACGUCCUUGUAAAUAGAACUACUGUUUCGUUAAUGAAGUUGGUUCCGUCAUGUAACAAUCAUAUGUCGGGUUAUUAUCAUGAUUAUUUCCUUAUUACUAUAAUGUACUAACAAUCUUUUUUGUAGGUAAAAA